rnacentral:lncRNA from 10 species
ACUCAGUUACUCCUAUUUAGCAAAAACAAAAACAAACAAACAAACCGGUAGCAUUGGGUGAGCACAUAAGCCAUGUGAAACCAGAAUGCUCAGAAAAGAAACCUGAUUUGUCAAAAUCUAUUGGGAUAAAAGACUUUUUAGAAAAGGAACAUCCAAUGCUGGCCAAGGAUGUGAAGAAAGAGGCCUUUCCGUACAUUGCUGAUGGAGUUACAUAUGGAUAAAAUUUUUCUGGAGAGCAACUUGGCAAAGCACAUGAAAGGUGCUUUAAAAACUAUGCAUAAUACCCUUUAACUCAGCAAUCUGUCCUAAAGAAAAAACAAAAGCCCGAGUCCCCAAAUUUAGCAACAAUAUAUUCCUUGAUAAAUUAUUUAUAACUUUAAAACCCUGAAAAUCAGAACCUAAAGGAAUAACAAGACUUUAUGAUACAUACAUAUGAUGUUAGCUAUAUAGCUAUACUAAAUGUUACAGAAAUAUAUUCAGAGAUAUUAAAAUCUUCAAUACAUAUUUAUAUCAUAACUGAAAUAAGAUAAACUGUUGUGUUAAGAUCCUCCAGUUAAAAGUAAUAAGAAACCAAUUCAAGAUAGUUGAGGGAGAAAAAGCGGUAAGAUUAUGAGGAUAAUGGGAUAAGGGUGAGAAGUAGGGCUCCAUAAAGGAAAAGGAAAGCCACUAAGAUCUUUUCUAUGUCAUUCAUUUUACA